rnacentral:lncRNA from 1 species
GGGCCAGGGGACAAACCCUGAUUCCCUUUGCAUGCAUCACUUCUGCCAAGGGAGGCUGGCACAGAGGUGAGGGCACCCCCAUUCUGCCUUUCCCAGAGGGGCCUGGCUGCAUCAUCUGGAGAGCUGGCUGAGUAGCCCCACCUGCCGUGUCUGGCUGGGUCAGGAGCCCACAGCUUCCUGCCUGCUUCUGUGCAGCUCCUGGCCACACUUUGCCCAGCCGAGGGUCCCUUGGCCCAGCCCUGUGGCAGUUCCUCUUCUUUCCUAGUCUGGAUGACAGAGCCCAGGAUGCAGUGGGGGAGGACAGACCUGCAGGCCCAAGCAGGCUUGACUCAAACCGCUGAAGUGCUCAGUAGGAACGCGUGCGUGGGGGAAGACAACAGAAGAAGAUGGAGAUAUCGCGUGUCUUCACCAUACAUUUAUCACCUCCGCUCUGCAGGUGUUGCCAAUUAAGUUGUAGCUUUUUCUACCUCAAAGCCUUUUUAUUUCCUCUUGCGAAUUUUGAAAGGUAGAUACUGGAGCAUGUAAACUCAGUUCAGUUCUAUGCACCCUUGAUAUGAAAAG